CUGAGCAGCUACUUGGUUGUUGGUUUUUCCAGUGAGAGACAGCCACCCUUAGCCACUGAAUCCUUUCUCCGGCUCACACACCCUUGGUUUUGCUUAUUUUGUUCUCAAAUGGGUCCUUCAGAAUUAACUCAGGUCCUCAUGAUUGCUUGGAAACAAUUCACCGAGAGAACCAUCUCCCUUUACUUCUUUCAGUGUGUGUGUGUGUGUGUGUGUGUGUGUAUGUGUGUGUGUGUGUGUAUACUCUCACGUGUGCAUGUGUUCAGGCCAGAGGACAGCUUUUGUGACUCACUUCUCUCUUUCUACCACGUGGGUUCUGGGGAUCAAACUCAGGUCGUCAGAGUUGGUGGCAAUCACCUCUAACCAACAAACCAUCUCGCUGUCCCCUCAGCCUGUUUUAGACAAGUCUAAAUCUGUCCUCCAGAGAUGGCCAUGUGAUCGAUCGUUCAACAGAGCUCUCAGCGCUGACCGGGUUAAGAGCUGGGUUUCCAGGGAGCAUCCUCAGCUGUCUUCUUCCUCACACGCGGCAGCCAGUUCCUUGCCCAAAGCAUCCAACCCCAUAGAGGAACAUGAAGAAUGUGAAGAAUGUGUCUCUUGGACCAGCGGUACUACAGGUUUCUACCUUUUAUAGUUGACC